GGGAUCGUAGCUCAGCUGGGAUGAGCGUCUGCUUGACGUGCAGAAGGUCUGCGGUUCGAGCCCGCACGGUCCCA
rnacentral:tRNA from 1 species